rnacentral:rRNA from 1 species
UACGGGGGGAGCAAGCGUUGUUCGGAUUUACUGGGCGUAAAGGGCGCGUAGGCGGUCAGCACAAGUCAGUUGUGAAAUCUCCGGGCCUAACUCGGAAAGGUCAACUGAUACUGUGCGACUAGAGUGCGGAAGGGGCAACUGGAAUUCUCGGUGUAGCGGUGAAAUGCGUAGAUAUCGAGAGGAACACCUGCGGCGAAGGCGGGUUGCUGGGCCGACACUGACGCUGAUGCGCGAAAGCCAGGGGAGCGAACGGG